rnacentral:rRNA from 1 species
AACGAACGCUGGCGGCAUGCCUAACACAUGCAAGUCGAACGAGACCUUCGGGUCUAGUGGCGCACGGGUGCGUAACGCGUGGGAACCUGCCCUUAGGUUCGGAAUAACUCCCCGAAAGGGGUGCUAAUACCGGAUAAUGUCUACGGACCAAAGAUUUAUCGCCUUUGGAUGGGCCCGCGUUGGAUUAGCUAGUUGGUAGGGUAAAAGCCUACCACGGCGACGAUCCAUAGCUGGUCUGAGAGGAUGAUCAGCCACACUGGGACUGAGACACGGCCCAGACUCCUACGGGAGGCAGCAGUGGGGAAUAUUGGACAAUGGGCGAAAGCCUGAUCCAGCAAUGCCGCGUGAGUGAUGAAGGCCUUAGGGUUGUAAAGCUCUUUUACCCGGGAUGAUAAUGACAGUACCGGGAGAAUAAGCUCCGGCUAACUCCGUG